AGAGUUUGAUCCUGGCUCAGGACGAACGCUGGCGGCGUGCUUAACACAUGCAAGUCGAACGGGAUCCAUGCAGUGCUUGCACUGCGGAAGAUCUAGUGGCGAACGGGUGAGGAACACGUGAGAAACCUGCCCUGGAUUCUGGGAUAACAGCGGGAAACUGCUGCUAAUACCGGAUACCUUCGGUCUGUCGCAUGGCAGACCGAAGAAAGUUUUUCGAUCCAGGAGGGUCUCGCGGCCUAUCAGCUAGUUGGUGGGGUAAUGGCCUACCAAGGCAUCGACGGGUAGCUGGUCUGAGAGGAUGAUCAGCCACACUGGGACUGAGACACGGCCCAGACUCCUACGGGAGGCAGCAGUGGGGAAUCUUGCGCAAUGGGCGAAAGCCUGACGCAGCAACGCCGCGUGCGGGAAGAAGGCUUUCGGGUUGUAAACCGCUUUCAGCAGGGAAGAAAAUGACGGUACCUGCAGAAGAAGGUGCGGCCAACUACGUGCCAGCAGCCGCGGUGACACGUAGGCACCAAGCGUUGUCCGGAUUUAUUGGGCGUAAAGAGCUCGUAGGCGGUUUAGUAAGUCGGGUGUGAAAACUUUGGGCUUAACCCAAAGCCUGCAUUCGAUACUGCUAUGACUUGAGUUCGGUAGGGGAGCGGGGAAUUCCUAGUGUAGCGGUGAAAUGCGCAGAUAUUAGGAGGAACACCGGUGGCGANNNCGCCGCUCUGGGCCGAUACUGACGCUGAGGAGCGAAAGCGUGGGUAGCAAACAGGA
rnacentral:rRNA from 1 species